rnacentral:hammerhead_ribozyme from 1 species
AUCUAGCUGACGAGUCCCAAGUAGGACGAAACUCGCGUCCUGGAU